CACGUUGAAACACCGGCUCUCGUACGAACACCCAAGUUAAGCGGCGUCGAGCCUGGUCAGUACCUAGAUGAGUGAUUGCUUGGGAAUACCAAGUGCUGUGA